GGUGGAUUCAUUGCCAACACCUGAACUUUCAGAGGGAUCAUCAAGACUAUAUGAAAAAUUAAUCGUGAAGGUCACAAGCCAAAGAUUCAGCGAUUGGAGCACUGAGGAAAGUGGAGAGUUUGAAGCUAUUUAUUGUUUAACGCUUCGUGUUUCAUAAACUCUGGACCCCUGCAUACAUUUUAGGGCCUUCACAAGGUACCCCCGGCCG
rnacentral:lncRNA from 1 species